rnacentral:lncRNA from 1 species
GUGCACAACAGCACACAAUACAAUACAAGUAAAAUGAUAUACAACAUAAUUUGGUUGUACUCAUCAACCUGCCCAUCUAAAAUAAGCACUGGGACCACAUAACUGAACCCAUAAAGCUGAAUGUUUAAGUCACACAUGCCCACUGGGCUAGUUUGCUUCCCACCACAACCCACCAGGAUGAUGUCUGAAGGAGCUAGAAAGUUCCCCUCUACCACUCCUGCCUCCCUCAACCGAGGUACAAUAUCUGCGCGCAGAGUAGUAGCCAUGGACCCACUAUCUAACAUCCCCUUCAGCUCAACUUUAUCCUGUACUAGCACAGAGGUGUAAAACAAACUGUCAUUCUGAGUAAUUCUCACUGUGUUCUGAAAAAUGACUGUGUUGUUCUUGGGUACUGACAAAAAUAAGAAUAAACAGAUUGGAUAUCAUCAUCACUGGAGGAAAAAUUAGACUGCCCCACAUUGCCCUCCUCAGAAUGGAGGUUUUCUAGUUUUCCUGAUACCUGCCGGUCUGUCCACAUCCAGGGCUCUGUUGUUGCCCAGUCUCACUACAGUCAAAGCUCAUGUGGCCAGGAGAGAAGCACUUGAAGCACAGCUGGUGCAUCUGACAGUGAGCUUUGGUCCUGUGAUUAGUGCUUCCACAGACAGCACACUCACGCUGGCGUUUGGGGAACUGUUUAUGGGGCCCUCUGUUCACAGACUGAGUAUUACUGACAAGUGCCUUCUCUAACAUACUCAACACUUUCUCUAAUAUCCCACUCUUAGAUAAAGGUGGGGCCUGUUCUGGUUCACGGCCACAUGGAGAAAAGGAUGACACCUUAGGUCUGUUCACAGGACCCACUUCCUCCUGGGGGGAGUCAAAGACGGCAGCCACCUGCUGUGAAAGUUGUGUUCUACUUGCUUUACACUCCCUUAACAGUUCAUCCAAACGAUCCUGUACCUCACUCGCUGUCCAGUCAUAAAGUGGUUUGCUUUUGAACACUUGGGCCAACUCUUUAUCAGGACAGUUGCGUACAAACAUGACUGCCAACUCUGAGCACUUAUUGGGCAAGGUCCUACCCUUUCUUACAAGGUGCUGUUCAGCUGCCUCUGCAGCUUUGUUAAGCCUAAUCCAGAAAUCUAGUGGACCCUCAUUAGCAUAUGGUUUGAUUGAAUAGAAAUCAGCUAAUGGCAUACCUGAGCAGACAGUAUCCCCAAAGUGUUGCUUGAGAACACUGAACACUGCCCUAACAUCUGUGACAACAGGGCUGUUACGCAUCCAGACUUUGGUCACAUCCCGUGCCCUCCCCAUGAGCCUAGACAUCACCUCCCCAACAUUCUCAGACCCAGUGUAACCCCUCUUCUUUAGGUAGACUUCCAUUAGCUCCACCCACUCCAGGACAGAGUACUUAUCUGAGCCAUCGCCCCUAAAGAAAGGUGGAGGACUAACAUCUGACUUCACAACCAGAUUCAGCUUGGACGCAUCAAUAAAAGUUGAACCACAUUGAUCAGACAGGGGAAACUGCUGGGGUAGGUGAGGGGGACGGGCAGGAGAAAGACUUGAAGCCCCAGGCUGCAGUAAACUUGCUCUGAUUGGUUCAGAGAUAGGAGAAUCUAUAUGCUUAAUAAGGUCACUAAACUGAUUCAGAGGUGUCCCAUUAUUACUGAGGACUGGGGAUGAUGGUACAUCAAAAGAUAGAGGUGGGAUACCCUGCUCAGGUGGAGUAAACAGCCUACCCCUCCCAGUGCUUUUAAAGGACUAGGAAACACUCUACUCCCAGGAGCUGACUGUACAAAUGGUGUAAAUGCAAGGGCACCCCUCCCUCUACCCACACUAAAAUCCCCAGCAUAGCUCAUUUUAUGGACUUGAGAGUCUUCCAUGGCUCAACAGAGCACUAAAAUACAAUGUAAUUUACUGCAUUUAAAUACCAAAAAAAUGCAAUAAACAAAUUCCUCCAAAACAUACAAAUAAACACAAAUACCCUUAUCUAGUGAAUAUGCUACAUUCACCUUCACUAUUUACAGUAUAUAUUCACUUAUAGCAAACCAUUAACAAGAGCGCAUGCGCAGAUCGCGCACCUCCUCCACAUGCACAGCUCCGAUAGGCGGCAGGUCGCGCACCUCCUCCACAUGCACAGAUCCGAUAGACGGCAGGUCGCGGCACCAGUUUAUAGCGUGGUUCGUUCUGCAUUGUGUAAUUUAAUGAGGACACUGCGACAACUGAAGGUCUGCUU